rnacentral:rRNA from 1 species
AGGGUUUGAUCAUGGCUCAGAUUGAACGCUGGCGGCAGGCUUAACACAUGCAAGUCGAGCGGAGAUGAGGUGCUUGCACCUUAUCUUAGCGGCGGACGGGUGAGUAAUGCUUAGGAAUCUGCCUAUUAGUGGGGGACAACAUUCCGAAAGGAAUGCUAAUACCGCAUACGCCCUACGGGGGAAAGCAGGGGAUCUUCGGACCUUGCGCUAAUAGAUGAGCCUAAGUCGGAUUAGCUAGUUGGUGGGGUAAAGGCCUACCAAGGCGACGAUCUGUAGCGGGUCUGAGAGGAUGAUCCGCCACACUGGGACUGAGACACGGCCCAGACUCCUACGGGAGGCAGCAGUGGGGAAUAUUGGACAAUGGGCGGAAGCCUGAUCCAGCCAUGCCGCGUGUGUGAAGAAGGCCUUUUGGUUGUAAAGCACUUUAAGCGAGGAGGAGGCUACUUAGAUUAAUACUCUAGGAUAGUGGACGUUACUCGCAGAAUAAGCACCGGCUAACUCUGUGCCAGCAGCCGCGGUAAUACAGAGGGUGCGAGCGUUAAUCGGAUUUACUGGGCGUAAAGCGUGCGUAGGCGGCUGAUUAAGUCGGAUGUGAAAUCCCUGAGCUUAACUUAGGAAUUGCAUUCGAUACUGGUCAGCUAGAGUAUGGGAGAGGAUGGUAGAAUUCCAGGUGUAGCGGUGAAAUGCGUAGAGAUCUGGAGGAAUACCGAUGGCGAAGGCAGCCAUCUGGCCUAAUACUGACGCUGAGGUACGAAAGCAUGGGGAGCAAACAGGAUUAGAUACCCUGGUAGUCCAUGCCGUAAACGAUGUCUACUAGCCGUUGGGGCCUUUGAGGCUUUAGUGGCGCAGCUAACGCGAUAAGUAGACCGCCUGGGGAGUACGGUCGCAAGACUAAAACUCAAAUGAAUUGACGGGGGCCCGCACAAGCGGUGGAGCAUGUGGUUUAAUUCGAUGCAACGCGAAGAACCUUACCUGGCCUUGACAUAGUAAGAACUUUCCAGAGAUGGAUUGGUGCCUUCGGGAACUUACAUACAGGUGCUGCAUGGCUGUCGUCAGCUCGUGUCGUGAGAUGUUGGGUUAAGUCCCGCAACGAGCGCAACCCUUUUCCUUAUUUGCCAGCGAGUAAUGUCGGGAACUUUAAGGAUACUGCCAGUGACAAACUGGAGGAAGGCGGGGACGACGUCAAGUCAUCAUGGCCCUUACGGCCAGGGCUACACACGUGCUACAAUGGUCGGUACAAAGGGUUGCUACCUAGCGAUAGGAUGCUAAUCUCAAAAAGCCGAUCGUAGUCCGGAUUGGAGUCUGCAACUCGACUCCAUGAAGUCGGAAUCGCUAGUAAUCGCGGAUCAGAAUGCCGCGGUGAAUACGUUCCCGGGCCUUGUACACACCGCCC